UGAGUACGAGACGCUAAGGCGUCGAAGUAGUGUAUGUCAUACUUCCAAGAAAAGCUUGCACUGUCAUAAGUAAAAAAUGCCUGUACCAUAACCGACACAGGUGGGUAGGUAGAGUAUACUAAGGGGCGCGAGAUAACUCUCUCUAAGGAACUCGGCAAAAUAACUCCGUAACUUCGGGAGAAGGAGUACCUUAUUCUAUAAGGUUGCAAUAACAAGAUCCAAGCAACUGUUUAUCAAAAACACAGGUCUCCGCUAAGUCGUAAGACGAUGUAUGGGGGCUGACGCCUGCCCAGUGCCAGAAGGUUAAAGAAGUCGGUUAGCAUUAGCGAAGCUGGUAACUGAAGCCCUGGUGAACGGCGGCCGUAACGAUAACGGUCCUAAGGUAGCGAAAUUCCUUGUCGGGUAAGUUCCGACCCGCACGAAAGGCGUAAUGAUUUGGAUACUGUCUCGGAGAGGGGCUCGGUGAAAUAGACUUGUCUGUGAAGAUGCGGACUACCUGCACCAGGACAGAAAGACCCUAUGAAGCUUUACUGUACUUGAAAUUGAAAUUGGACUUUAUUCGCGCAGUAUAGGUGGGAGGUGUUGAUUAUAAUCUUGCGGGAUUAUUGGAGCCAUCAGUGAGAUACCACUCUUGUAAUGUUAGAUUUCUAACUUUGAAUCAUUAUCUGGUCAAAGGACAGUUUCAGGCGGGCAGUUUGACUGGGGCGGUCGCCUCCCAAACGGUAACGGAGGCGUACAAAGGUUUCCUCUGAACGGGUAGAAAUCGUAUCUAGAGUGUAAAGGCAUAAGGAAGCUUGACUGUGAGACCUACAAGUCGAACAGGGACGAAAGUCGGUCUUAGUGAUCUGACGGUACUGAGUGGAAAGGCCGUCACUCAACGGAUAAAAGUUACUCUAAGGAUAACAGGCUGAUCUCCCCCAAGAGUUCACAUCGACGGGGAGGUUUGGCACCUCGAUGUCGGCUCAUCGCAUCCUGGGGCGGUAGUACGUCCCAAGGGUUGGGCUGUUCGCCCAUGAAAGCGGUACGCGAGCUGGGUUCAGAACGUCGUGAGACAGUUCGGUCCAUAUCCGGUGUAGGCGUUAGAAUAUUGAGAGGAGCCUUCUUUAGUACGAGAGGACCGAGAAGGACAUACCUCUGGUGUACCAGUUAUCGUGCCAACGGUAAACGCUGGGUAGCUAUGUAUGGAGUGGAUAACCGCUGAAAGCAUCUAAGUGGGAAGCCCACCUCAAGAUAAG
rnacentral:rRNA from 1 species